CCCUAAGGGGGCAGGCCUAUACAUGCAGUCGAGCGGAAGAUGGGAGCUUGCUCCCUGAUGUUAGCGGCGGACGGGUGAGUAACACGUGGGUAACCUGCCUGUAAGACUGGGAUAACUCCGGGAAACCGGGGCUAAUACCGGAUGGUUGUUUGAACCGCAUGGUUCAGACAUAAAAGGUGGCUUCGGCUACCACUUACAGAUGGACCCGCGGCGCAUUAGCUAGUUGGUGAGGUAACGGCUCACCAAGGCAACGAUGCGUAGCCGACCUGAGAGGGUGAUCGGCCACACUGGGACUGAGACACGGCCCAGACUCCUACGGGAGGCAGCAGUAGGGAAUCUUCCGCAAUGGACGAAAGUCUGACGGAGCAACGCCGCGUGAGUGAUGAAGGUUUUCGGAUCGUAAAGCUCUGUUGUUAGGGAAGAACAAGUGCCGUUCAAAUAGGGCGGCACCUUGACGGUACCUAACCAGAAAGCCACGGCUAACUACGUGCCAGCAGCCGCGGUAAUACGUAGGUGGCAAGCGUUGUCCGGAAUUAUUGGGCGUAAAGGGCUCGCAGGCGGUUUCUUAAGUCUGAUGUGAAAGCCCCCGGCUCAACCGGGGAGGGUCAUUGGAAACUGGGGAACUUGAGUGCAGAAGAGGAGAGUGGAAUUCCACGUGUAGCGGUGAAAUGCGUAGAGAUGUGGAGGAACACCAGUGGCGAAGGCGACUCUCUGGUCUGUAACUGACGCUGAGGAGCGAAAGCGUGGGGAGCGAACAGGAUUAGAUACCCUGGUAGUCCACGCCGUAAACGAUGAGUGCUAAGUGUUAGGGGGUUUCCGCCCCUUAGUGC
rnacentral:rRNA from 1 species